AAGGACAGUAUCAUAAGAGCCAUUGUUCUGCAUGCUACAAUGCGUCUGACUCCUAUGCUUCAGCAAAUUAGAAAUGGGAUGAAGAUCUACAACCUUCUGGAUGUGAUUGGGAAGCAUCAAACUCUCUGCUCAAGCCUGUUUGUCCCCAAAGAGGACGAUGACAGACCGGAUGCUGAUUACAUAAUGAGUAUCCUAGUGCCUGAGCUGAGUGAGAAGGGAAGUCCAAGGCAAGCAAGAGAAAAUGCCAUCAUCAACUUCCUCCAGGACUUUCUACAAGACCUAGAAAUCACAGGUCAGAAUGAAGACCAGAAAAUGUGUGAGCCUCUGACCCAAGAGGAGCUGCUAAGUGAAGGGCACUGGAAUCAACAAAAACACGCAAGCCUGUCUGUCCCAACAGUAAUGCAGUGGUUAACUGGACAAAGGCACAAGCCCCUUCUUCCA